rnacentral:rRNA from 1 species
CCUACGGGAGGCAGCAGUGAGGAAUAUUGGUCAAUGGGCGUAAGCCUGAACCAGCCAAGUAGCGUGAGGGAUGAAGGCCCUAUGGAUCGUAAACUUCUUUUAUAAGGGAAUAAAGUGUGGGACGUGUCCUAUUUUGUAUGUACCUUAUGAAUAAGGAUCGGCUAACUCCGUGCCAGCAGCCGCGGUAAUACGGAGGAUCCGAGCGUUAUCCGGAUUUAUUGGGUUUAAAGGGUGCGUAGGUGGUUAAUUAAGUCAGCGGUGAAAGUUUGUGGCUCAACCAUAAAAUUGCCGUUGAAACUGGUUGACUUGAGUAUAUUUAGGGUAGGCGGAAUGCGUGGUGUAGCGGUGAAAUGCAUAGAUAUCACGCAGAACUCCGAUUGCGAAGGCAGCUGACUGAGCUAUAACUGACACUGAAGCACGAAAGCGUGGGGAUCAAACAGGAUUAGAUACCCCUGUAGUC